UACAGAGGGUGCAAGCGUUGUCCGGAAUUAUUGGGCGUAAAGGGCUCGUAGGCGGUCUGUUGCGUCGGGAGUGAAAACUCAGGGCUUAACCCUGAGCCUGCUUCCGAUACGGGCAGACUAGAGGUAUGCAGGGGAGAACGGAAUUCCUGGUGUAGCGGUGAAAUGCGCAGAUAUCAGGAAGAACACCAGCGGCGAAGGCGGCACUCUGGGCUGGUAUUGACGCUGAGGAGCGAAAGUGUGGGUAGCAAACAGG
rnacentral:rRNA from 1 species